GCCUGGAUAGUUCAGAGGCAGAAUCCCCGCUUUGGGUCAUUAUACCAUUUAGCAGCUCGUCUUGCGUGCGGGAGGUCCUGGGUUCAAUCCCCAGUUCAGGCC